rnacentral:other from 1 species
GCGCUCCUAUCGUGUAUGUGAUGAGAUGACGUUUGACCCAACAAACGUUUCUUGGGUUGUCUUAUAUUUUAUCAGGCCUUGGUCUGGUAGUGCGGGUACCCACCUGGUUCACCAGGAUCAACGAUCGAUUUCACACGGCAUGAUGGGAGUUUU